GGAAUUUUACUGCUUCUUAGAAAAUCUAAAAGAGCUUCCAGAGCUCCCAAGGUCGACGCCUGGACGUAGACGCCUCGUUCAGCGAGUUUUAUGUGUCCUAAAGCACUGAGGUUGCGGCAUCAGUAGAGACCUGAUUUGAGUCACGAUUGGUCCGUCUGUACCGGCGACUAUCAUAGUAUCCCCCUCUCGCAACGUGCCGUUUACAAGAAUGCAAUCGAUCGUUGUUCCGAGACCAGGGAGAGCCUUAACCUCGAGAACGGUUGCCUGCAGCUCUUCGCUGAACAUCAGUCGCUUGGCCAGGGGCCCUUGACAGGCGUCGACCACUAGCCCAAGAAGAUUACCCAUUCCUUCACCUGUGAAUAUUGUGAAAUAGUAAACGUUAAUAAACAAUUUAUAAAACUAGUUUCCAAUUAUUGAGAUAUAUAUUUCACUCAUACGCGAACUUA